rnacentral:rRNA from 1 species
UACGUAGGGCGCAAGCGUUGUCCGGAAUUAUUGGGCGUAAAGAGCUCGUAGGCGGCUUGUCACGUCGGGUGUGAAAGCCCCGGGGCUUAACCCCGGGUCUGCAUUCGAUACGGGCAGGCUAGAGUGUGGUAGGGGAGACUGGAAUUCCUGGUGUAGCGGUGAAAUGCGCAGAUAUCAGGAGGAACACCGAUGGCGAAGGCGGCCAUCUGGACGGAUACUGACGCUGAGACGCGAAAGCGUGGGUAGCAAACAGG